rnacentral:rRNA from 1 species
CACAAAUAUCCGCCCGGGUACUAAGAACGUAAGUUUGAAACCCAAAGGACUUGGCGGCGCUUAACAUCCACCUAGAGGAGCCUGUUCUAUAACCGAUAACCCCCGUUCAACCUCACCCUCUCUGGCCUUUAGCCGCCUAUAUACCACCGUCGUCAGCUUACCCUGCAAAGGUUUAACAGUAAACAAAACUAGCAUUGCUCAAAACGUCAGGUCGAGGUGUAGCACAUGAGAGGGGAAGAAAUGGGCUACAUUCGCUACUCCUUAGCGAACACGGAUAACCACGUUGAAAGAGCGUACAUGAAGGAGGAUUUAGAAGUAAGCAAAAAACAGAGUGUUUUGCUGAAACUCGGCACUAAAGCGCGCACACACCGCCCCGUCACCCUCACACUAAAC